GAUGAACGCUGGCGGCGUGCCUAAUACAUGCAAGUCGAGCGAACGGACGAGAAGCUUGCUUCUCUGAUGUUAUCGGCGGACGGGUGAGUAACACGUGGAUAACCUACCUAUAAGACUGGGAUAACUUCGGGAAACCGGAUCUAAUACCGGAUAAUAUUUUGAACCGCAUGGUUCAAAAGUGAAAGACGGUCUUGCUGUCACUUAUAGAUGGAUCCGCGCUGCAUUAGCUAGUUGGUAAGGUAACGGCUUACCAAGGCAACGAUGCAUAGCCGACCUGAGAGGGUGAUCGGCCACACUGGAUCUGAGACACGGUCCCGACUCCUACGGGAGGCAGCAGUAGGGAAUCUUCCGCGAUGGGCGAAAGCCUGACGGAGCAACGCCGCGUGAGUGAUGAAGGUCUUCGGAUCGUAAAACUCUGUUAUUAGGGAAGAACAUAUGUGUAAGUAACUGUGCACAUCUUGACGGUACCUAAUCAGAAAGCCACGGCUAACUACGUG
rnacentral:rRNA from 1 species